rnacentral:rRNA from 1 species
GUCUAUGGUCAUGCCACUCGUACAAGCCCUCUGUCUGAUCUUGGAACAAGCCCGAUAUCUGAUCUCGGAAGCUAAGCUAGGUCAGGCCUGGUUAGUACUUGGAUAGGAAACCAUCUAGGAAGACCACGUGCUGUAGGCA